UCAGACGAUGCGUCAUGCAUAUCAAUAAGCGGAGGAAAAGAAACUAACAAGGAUUCCCCUAGUAACGGCGAGUGAAGCGGGAAGAGCUCAAAUUUGAAAUCUUCAAGGUUUUACCUUGACGAAUUGUAGUUUAAAGAAGUGUUUUCUGUUGAAGUUUUGGUAAAAGUUCUUUGGAAUAGGACAUCAUAGAGGGUGAGAAUCCCGUAUUUGACCAUUAUUUUCAGCUGUGUGAUACACUUUCAAAGAGUCGGAUUGUUUGGGAAUGCAGUCCAAAAUGGGUGGUAAAUUUCAUCUAAAGCUAAAUAUUGGCGAGAGACCGAUAGCGAACAAGUACCGUGAGGGAAAGAUGAAAAGAACUUUGAAAAGAGAGUUAAACAGUACGUGAAAUUGUCAAAAGGGGAAGCGUUUGACACCAGUGUUGUUUUUCCGUGAAAAUCAAUUAUAAAUGUUUUGUUUCUGAGGAGUGACGACUUCAUCGGCUUCCUUCUCUCUUUACGAAACUUUUGUAAUGCACUUUUCGGUUAACAAGUCAACAUCAAUUUCCUUUGUUGUAAAAGAGUAUUCGGAAGGUGGCUUUCUUUUCGGAGAAAGUGUUUAUAGCCCUAUACUUCUACAAUCGGAGAGAUUGAGGUCUGCAGCGUAGAUCCCUCGGGGUUAGAUACACUUGUGCUAAGUUAUAGCUUUUCAUAGACAACUUGUUGACUAUGUUUAGUCUUGUAGCUUACUCGCUUGUGCUAUUUUACCUACGCUUAGGAUGUUGAUAUGCAUGACUGAUAU
rnacentral:rRNA from 1 species